CUCUUAACAGACUUUGCUUCGCCCUCUUCAAGCUUUAUGCUCUUUUCAACUUCAGCAUGGUGCCCAAAUUCGCCUCAGCAAGGAACAUCUUCUGAAAAAUGGAUUAUAUCCUAAACCAAUGCCAAAGAACAAACGCAAACUCAGGAAAAUGGAAUUGUUAAUGAAUAGUGUUAAAAUUUAGUACAGUUAUUCUUUUGGUGCUAGCUUAACUGUCUUCAUCUAGCAAUACCAAAUUAAGUUUUUGUAUAGUUUAGGUCUGUAGGUUUUUAACUUGCUAAAGAAGAAUGAGAAUUGCAUACUAAUCUUACCCAGAAGAAGGAAGUAAACCAAAUAUUCAUAAAAACAAAUAAACAGAAAUUCACUGGCUCACUGAAAAGCAGGAUUUCAUACUGUACUUGUUUUUAAAAAUGUGCCUCUAAUACAUGUUUUCAAACCCAAA
rnacentral:sRNA from 1 species